rnacentral:rRNA from 1 species
UACGUAGGGUGCGAGCGUUAAUCGGAAUUACUGGGCGUAAAGCGUGCGCAGGCGGUUCGUUGUGUCGGCGGGGAAAGCCCCGGGCUUAACCUGGGAAUGGCCGUUGAAACUGGCGAACUGGAGUGUGGCAGAGGGGGGUGGAAUUCCGCGUGUAGCAGUGAAAUGCGUAGAGAUGCGGAGGAACACCGAUGGCGAAGGCAGCCCCCUGGGCUAACACUGACGCUCGGGCACGAAAGCGUGGGGAGCAAACAGG